rnacentral:rRNA from 1 species
GAUGAACGCUAGCGGCAGGCUUAAUACAUGCAAGUCGUGGGGCAGCAGGUUUGUAGCAAUACAGAUGCUGGCGACCGGCAAACGGGUGCGGAACACGUACAGAACCUUCCUUUGAGCGGGGAAUAGCCCAGAGAAAUUUGGAUUAAUACCCCAUAGUAUAAUGAAGUGGCAUCACUUUAUUAUUAAAGAUUUAUCACUCGAAGAUGGCUGUGCGGCUGAUUAGGUAGUUGGCGGGGUAAAGGCCCACCAAGCCUGCGAUCAGUAACUGGUGUGAGAGCACGACCAGUCACACGGGCACUGAGACACGGGCCCGACUCCUACGGGAGGCAGCAGUAAGGAAUAUUGGUCAAUGGAGGCAACUCUGAACCAGCCAUGCCGCGUGGAGGAUGAAGGUCCUCUGGAUUGUAAACUUCCGUUUUUCGGGGUAAGAAUAGGUCUCUUGCGAGGGAUUGUGACGGUACCCGAAGAAUAAGCCAC